rnacentral:rRNA from 1 species
UAAGUUAGAAAGGGCGCACGGUGGAUGCCUUGACACUAGGAGUCGAUGAAGGACGGGACUAACGCCGAUAUGCUUCGGGGAGCUGUAAGUAAGCUUUGAUCCGAAGAUUUCCGAAUGGGGAAACCCACCAUACGUAAUGGUAUGGUAUCCUUAUCUGAAUACAUAGGGUAAGGAAGACAGACCCAGGGAACUGAAACAUCUAAGUACCUGGAGGAAGAGAAAGCAAAUGCGAUUUCCUGAGUAGCGGCGAGCGAAACGGAACAUAGCCCAAACCAAGAGGCUUGCCUCUUGGGGUUGUAGGACAUUCUAUACGGAGUUACAAAGGAACGAGGUAGACGAAGCGACCUGGAAAGGUCCGUCGUAGAGGGUAACAACCCCGUAGUCGAAACUUCGUUCUCUCUUGAAUGUAUCCUGAGUACGGCGGAACACGUGAAAUUCCGUCGGAAUCUGGGAGGACCAUCUCCCAAGGCUAAAUACUCCCUAGUGAUCGAUAGUGAACCAGUACCGUGAGGGAAAGGUGAAAAGCACCCCGGAAGGGGAGUGAAAGAGAUCCUGAAACCGUGUGCCUACAAAUAGUCAGAGCCCGUUAACGGGUGAUGGCGUGCCUUUUGUAGAAUGAACCGGCGAGUUACGAUCCCGUGCGAGGUUAAGCUGAAGAGGCGGAGCCGCAGCGAAAGCGAGUCUGAAUAGGGCGUUUAGUACGUGGUCGUAGACCCGAAACCAGGUGAUCUACCCAUGUCCAGGGUGAAGUUCAGGUAACACUGAAUGGAGGCCCGAACCCACGCACGUUGAAAAGUGCGGGGAUGAGGUGUGGGUAGCGGAGAAAUUCCAAUCGAACCUGGAGAUAGCUGGUUCUCCCCGAAAUAGCUUUAGGGCUAGCCUUAAGUGUAAGAGUCUUGGAGGUAGAGCACUGAUUGGACUAGGGGUCCUCAUCGGAUUACCGAAUUCAGUCAAACUCCGAAUGCCAAUGACUUAUCCUUAGGAGUCAGACUGCGAGUGAUAAGAUCCGUAGUCAAAAGGGAAACAGCCCAGACCGCCAGCUAAGGUCCCAAAGUGUGUAUUAAGUGGAAAAGGAUGUGGAGUUGCUUAGACAACUAGGAUGUUGGCUUAGAAGCAGCCACCAUUUAAAGAGUGCGUAAUAGCUCACUAGUCGAGUGACUCUGCGCCGAAAAUGUACCGGGGCUAAAUACACCACCGAAGCUGCGGAUUGAUACCAAUGGUAUCAGUGGUAGGGGAGCGUUCUAAGGACAGUGAAGUCAGACCGUAAGGACUGGUGGAGUGCUUAGAGGUGAGAAUGCCGGUAUGAGUAGCGAAAGACGGGUGAGAAUCCCGUCCACCGAAUGCCUAAGGUUUCCUGAGGAAGGCUCGUCCGCUCAGGGUUAGUCAGGACCUAAGCCGAGGCCGACAGGCGUAGGCGAUGGACAACAGGUUGAUAUUCCUGUACCACCUCUUUAUCGUUUGAGCAAUGGAGGGACGCAGAAGGAUAGAAGAAGCGUGCGAUUGGUUGUGCACGUCCAAGCAGUUAGGCUGAUAAGUAGGCAAAUCCGCUUAUCAUAAAGGCUGAGCUGUGAUGGGGAAGCUCCUUAUGGAGCGAAGUCUUUGAUUCCCCGCUGCCAAGAAAAGCUUCUAGCGAGAUAAAAGGUGCCUGUACCGCAAACCGACACAGGUAGGCGAGGAGAGAAUCCUAAGGUGUGCGAGAGAACUCUGGUUAAGGAACUCGGCAAAAUGACCCCGUAACUUCGGGAGAAGGGGUGCUUUCUUAACGGAAAGCCGCAGUGAAUAGGCCCAAGCGACUGUUUAGCAAAAACACAGCUCUCUGCGAAGCCGUAAGGCGAAGUAUAGGGGGUGACACCUGCCCGGUGCUGGAAGGUUAAGGAGAGGGGUUAGCGUAAGCGAAGCUCUGAACUGAAGCCCCAGUAAACGGCGGCCGUAACUAUAACGGUCCUAAGGUAGCGAAAUUCCUUGUCGGGUAAGUUCCGACCCGCACGAAAGGUGUAACGAUUUGGGCACUGUCUCAACCAGAGACUCGGUGAAAUUAUAGUACCUGUGAAGAUGCAGGUUACCCGCGACAGGACGGAAAGACCCCGUGGAGCUUUACUGUAGCCUGAUAUUGAAUUUUGGUACAGUUUGUACAGGAUAGGCGGGAGCCAUUGAAACCGGAGCGCUAGCUUCGGUGGAGGCGCUGGUGGGAUACCGCCCUGACUGUAUUGAAAUUCUAACCUACGGGUCUUAUCGACCCGGGAGACAGUGUCAGGUGGGCAGUUUGACUGGGGCGGUCGCCUCCUAAAGUGUAACGGAGGCGCCCAAAGGUUCCCUCAGAAUGGUUGGAAAUCAUUCGUAGAGUGCAAAGGCAUAAGGGAGCUUGACUGCGAGACCUACAAGUCGAGCAGGGACGAAAGUCGGGCUUAGUGAUCCGGUGGUUCCGCAUGGAAGGGCCAUCGCUCAACGGAUAAAAGCUACCCCGGGGAUAACAGGCUUAUCUCCCCCAAGAGUCCACAUCGACGGGGAGGUUUGGCACCUCGAUGUCGGCUCAUCGCAUCCUGGGGCUGUAGUCGGUCCCAAGGGUUGGGCUGUUCGCCCAUUAAAGCGGUACGCGAGCUGGGUACAGAACGUCGUGAGACAGUUCGGUCCCUAUCCGUCGUGGGCGUAGGAAAUUUGAGAGGAGCUGUCCUUAGUACGAGAGGACCGGGAUGGACGCACCGCUGGUGUACCAGUUGUUCUGCCAAGGGCAUAGCUGGGUAGCUAUGUGCGGAAGGGAUAAGUGCUGAAAGCAUCUAAGCAUGAAGCCCCCCUCAAGAUGAGAUUUCCCAUAGCGUAAGCUAGUAAGAUCCCUGAAAGAUGAUCAGGUUGAUAGGUUCGAGGUGGAAGCAUGGUGACAUGUGGAGCUGACGAAUACUAAUAGAUCGAGGACUUAACCA